ACUGCUGUAACCCAACUGGAAGAGGUGCUGGUCUUAGAAACCAGAAGUUGUGGGUUCGACUCCCAUCAGCAGUACCA
rnacentral:tRNA from 1 species